rnacentral:rRNA from 1 species
GAUCCUGGCUCAGGAUGAACGCUAGCGACAGGCCUAACACAUGCAAGUCGAGGGGCAGCGGGGAGGUAGCAAUACCUUUGCCGGCGACCGGCGCACGGGUGAGUAACACGUAUGCAAUCCACCUGUAACAGGGGGAUAACCCCGGAGAAAUCCGGGACUAAUACCCCAUAAUAUGGGCGCUCCGCAUGGGAGAACCCAUUAAAGAGAGCAAUUUUGGUUACAGACGAGCAUGCGCUCCAUUAGCCAG